rnacentral:lncRNA from 1 species
UCUGAACUGUUGACUCUGGUGACCGUUCAUUCCCGGAUCUUUGGUUUAGACGAUCUCAGGAGAGCUACAAUGGCACACCCGAAAGGGCAAACCCAUUGAGUAUCUCCGCCCGAUUGUCGAGACUAUUAUCCGCCUUAGGGUGACCUGAUUAGAAUUUACCUGUGAGGGGAGGGUGAUUCCUUCAGAUGCAUGUUCAGGUGCAUUGUUCAGAUGGUGACUUUUUGUUCCGUGGAUCAGAGUCCUAUUUAUAAGUCGGAUUUAUGGCCAUUUAUUG